GCCGGCCUGCAAGGUUGGUGAUGGUGGUAACCGAUUUUUGAACCAACAAACGAAUGAACGGGGACUUGACUCGUAAAGAAGGUCCGGUGUGCAACGUUCCGCCAUGCGGAAAUGCCUAAUGGAUCGCGGCGGGUUCCCACCGUCUACGACGGGUUCAUUCUCGGCCCUCCACACGGCCCUAGUGGGUCGGCU
rnacentral:other from 1 species